AGGGGAUACCAGUUGGAAACGACUGUUAAUACCGCAUAAUGUCUACGGACCAAAGUGUGGGACCUUCGGGCCACAUGCUAUCGGAUGCGCCUACGUGGGAUUAGCUAGUUGGUGAGGUAAUGGCUCACCAAUGCGACGAUCCCUAGCUGGUUUAAGAGGAUGAUCAGCCACACUGGAACUGAGACACGGUCCAGACUCCAACGGGAGGCAGCAUUGGGGAAUAUUGGACAAUGGGCGCAAGCCUGAUCCAGCCAUGCCGCGUGUGUGAAGAAGGCCUUCGGGUUGUAAAGCACUUUCAGCGAGGAGGAAGGGUUAGUAGUUAAUAGCUGCUAAUUUUGACGUUACUCGCAGAAGAAGCACCGGCUAACUCUGUGCCAGCAGCCGCGGUAAUACAGAGGGUGCAAGCGUUAAUCGGAAUUACUGGGCGUAAAGCGCACGCAGGCGGUUGGUUAAGUCAGAUGUGAAAGCCCCGGGCUCAACCUGGGAAUUGCAUUUGAAACUGGCCAACUAGAGUAUGUGAGAGGGGGGUAGAAUUCCAAGUGUAGCGGUGAAAUGCGUAGAGAUUUGGAGGAAUACCAGUGGCGAAGGCGGCCCCCUGGCACAAUACUGACGCUCAGGUGCGAAAGCGUGGGGAGCAAACAGGAUUA
rnacentral:rRNA from 1 species